rnacentral:tRNA from 1 species
GGGGGUAUGGCGGAAUUGGUAGACGCUACGGACUUAAAAUCCGUUGGCUUUAUAGACCGUGAGGGUUCGAGUCCCUCUACCCCCA